rnacentral:rRNA from 1 species
GACGAACGCUGGCGGCGUGCCUAAUACAUGCAAGUAGAACGCUGAAGGAGGAGCUUGCUUCUCUGGAUGAGUUGCGAACGGGUGAGUAACGCGUAGGUAACCUGCCUGGUAGCGGGGGAUAACUAUUGGAAACGAUAGCUAAUACCGCAUAAGAGUAGAUGUUGCAUGACAUUUGCUUAAAAGGUGCAAUUGCAUCACUACCAGAUGGACCUGCGUUGUAUUAGCUAGUUGGUGGGGUAACGGCUCACCAAGGCGACGAUACAUAGCCGACCUGAGAGGGUGAUCGGCCACACUGGGACUGAGACACGGCCCAGACUCCUACGGGAGGCAGCAGUAGGGAAUCUUCGGCAAUGGACGGAAGUCUGACCGAGCAACGCCGCGCGAGUGAAGAAGGUUUUCGGAUCGUAAAGCUCUGUUGUAAGAGAAGAGCGAGUGUGAGAGUGGAAAGUUCACACUGUGACGGUAUCUUACCAGAAAGGGACGGCUAACUACGUG